UAAGUUGCUGCUUGUUUCUUU
rnacentral:piRNA from 1 species